rnacentral:rRNA from 1 species
UGGCCUGCGUAUGAUUAGGUAGUUGGUAGGGUAAUGGCCUACCAAGCCGACGAUCAUUAGCUGGUCUGAGAGGAUGACCAGCCAGACUGGAACUGAGACACGGUCCAGACUCCUACGGGAGGUAGCAGUGAGGAAUCUUCCACAAUGGGCGAAAGCCUGAUGGAGCAACGCCGCGUGAAGGAUGAAGGCCCUCGGGUUGUAAACUUCUUUUAUGAGUGAAGAAUAUGACGGUAACUCAUGAAUAAGCACCGGCUAACUACGUGCCAGCAGCCGCGGUCAUACGUAGGGUGCAAGCAUUAUCCGGAGUGACUGGGCGUAAAGAGUUGCGUAGGCGGCUUAAUAAGUGAAUAGUGAAAUCUGGUGGCUCAACCAUACAGACUAUUAUUCAAACUGUUAAGCUCGAGAAUGGUAGAGGUAACUGGAAUUUCUAGUGUAGGAGUGAAAUCCGUAGAUAUUAGAAGGAACACCAAUGGCGUAGGCAGGUUACUGGACCAUUUCUGACGCUAAGGCACGAAAGCGUGGGGAGCGAACCGGAUUAGAUACCCGGGUAGUCCACGCCGUAAACGAUGGAUACUAGCUGUUGGAGGUAUCGACCCCUUCAGUAAGUAUCCCGCCUGUGGAGUACGGCCGCAAGGCUAAAACAUAAAGGAAUUGACGGGGACCCGCACAAGCGGUGGAUUAUGUUCUUUAAUUCGAUGAUAACCGAAGAACCUUACCAGGGUUUGAAAUCCCGAGAAUUAAUCCAAAAGGAUUGAGUGCUUUAUUGAGCUCGGUGACAGAUGUUGCAUGGCCGUCGUCAGCUCGUGUCGUGAGAUGUUUGGUUAAGUCCAUCAACGAGCGCAACCCUUGUCAGUAGUUGUAUUUUUCUACUGAAACUGCCCCGGCAACGGGGAGGAAGGAGGGGAUGAUGUCAGGUCAGUAUUACUCUUACAUCCUGGGCUAGAAACGUAAUACAAUGGCUGGUACAAUGCGUCGCGAAGCCGNGAGGUGAAGCAGAUCGCAUCAAAGCCAGUCCCAGUUCGGAUUGGAGGCUGAAACUCGCCUCCAUGAAGUCGGAAUCGCUAGUAAUCGCAGAUCAGCAAGCUGCGGUGAAUACGUUCCCGGGUCUUGUACACACCGCCCGUCAAACCAUGAAAGUGACCAACACCCGAAGUCCGAUUCGUCGGCCUAAGGUGGGGGGCGAUGAU